CCUACGGGAGGCAGCAGUGAGGAAUAUUGGUCAAUGGACGAGAGUCUGAACCAGCCAAGUAGCGUGAAGGAUGACUGCCCUCUGGGUUGUAAACUUCUUUUAUAUGGGAAUAAAAUGUUCCACGUGUGGGAUUUUGUAUGUAUCAUUUGAAUAAGGAUCGGCUAACUCCGGGUCAGCAGCUGCGGUAAUCCGGAGGAUCUGAGCGUUAUCCGGAUUUAGUGGGUUUAAAGGGUGCGUAGUGGGAUUGUUAAGGCAGUUGUGAAAGGUUGCGGGUCAACCGUAAAAUUGCAGUUGAAACUGGGGGUCUUGAGUACAGUAGAGGAGGGCGGAAUUCGUGGUGUAGCGGUGAAAUGCGUAGAUAUCACGAAGAACUCCGAUUGCGAAGGCAGUUCACUGGACUGUAACUGACACUGAGGCACGAAAGUGUGGGUAUCAAACAGGAUUAGAUACCCGUGUAGUC
rnacentral:rRNA from 1 species